GUGGGGAAUUUUGGACAAUGGGCGCAAGCCUGAUCCAGCAAUGCCGCGUGCAGGAAGAAGGCCUUCGGGUUGUAAACUGCUUUUGUACGGAACGAAAAGGCUCUGGUUAAUACCUGGGGCUCAUGACGGUACCGUAAGAAUAAGCACCGGCUAACUACGUGCCAGCAGCCGCGGUAAUACGUAGGGUGCAAGCGUUAAUCGGAAUUACUGGGCGUAAAGCGUGCGCAGGCGGUUUUGUAAGACAGACGUGAAAUCCCCGGGCUCAACCUGGGAAUUGCGCUUGUGACUGCAGUGCUGGAGUGCGGCAGAGGGGGAUGGAAUUCCGCGUGUAGCAGUGAAAUGCGUAGAUAUGCGGAGGAACACCGAUGGCGAAGGCAAUCCCCUGGGCCUGCACUGACGCUCAUGCACGAAAGCGUGGGGAGCAAACAGGAUUAGAAACCCUGGUAGUCC
rnacentral:rRNA from 1 species